UACGUAGGGGGCAAGCGUUGUCCUGAAUCAUUGGGCGUAAAGCGCGUGUAGGCGGCCCGAUAAGUCCGCUGUGAAAGUCCAGGGCUCAACCCUGGGAUGCCGGUGGAUACUGUCGGGCUCGAGUCCGGAAGAGGCGAGUGGAAUUCCUGGUGUAGCGGUGAAAUGCGCAGAUAUCAGGAGGAACACCAAUGGCGAAGGCAGCUCGCUGGGACGUGACUGACGCUGAGGCGCGAAAGCGUGGGGAGCGAACAGG
rnacentral:rRNA from 1 species